rnacentral:tRNA from 1 species
CGGGGCGUGGCUCAGCUGGUCUAGAGCGCUCGCUUGGGGUGCGAGAGAUCGCUGGUUCAAAUCCAGUCGCCCCGA